GAUGAACGCUGGCGGCGUGCCUAAUACAUGCAAGUCGAGCGAACGGGCGAGAAGCUUGCUUCUCUGAUGUUAGCGGCGGACGGGUGAGUAACACGUGGAUAACCUACCUAUAAGACUGGGAUAACUUCGGGAAACCGGAGCUAAUACCGGAUGAUAUUUUGAACCGCAUGGUUCAAAAGUGAAAGACGGUCUUGCUGUCACUUAUAGAUGGAUCCGCGCUGCAUUAGCUAGUUGGUAAGGUAACGGCUUACCAAGGCAACGAUGCAUAGCCGACCUGAGAGGGUGAUCGGCCACACUGGAACUGAGACACGGUCCAGACUCCUACGGGAGGCAGCAGUAGGGAAUCUUCCGCAAUGGGCGAAAGCCUGACGGAGCAACGCCGCGUGGGUGAUGAAGGUCUUCGGAUCGUAAAACUCUGUUAUUAGGGAAGAACAUAUGUGUAAGUAACUGUGCACAUCUUGACGGUACCUAAUCAGAAAGCCACGGCUAACUACGUG
rnacentral:rRNA from 1 species